UACGGGGGGGCGAGCGUUGUUCGGAAUUACUGGGCGUAAAGGGUUUGUAGGUGGUCUGCUAAGUCAGACGUGAAAUCCCUCAGCUUAACUGGGGAACUGCGUCUGAUACUGGCGGACUUGAGGACAGGAGAGGAACGCGGAAUUCCAGGUGUAGCGGUGAAAUGCGUAGAGAUCGGGCGGAACACCAGCGGCGAAGGCGGCUGCCUGGGCCGUGGCCUGACGCUGAGGCGCGAAAGCGUGGGGGAGGCAAUCCGG
rnacentral:rRNA from 1 species